UACGAAGGGUGCAAACGUUGCUCGGAAUCAUUGGGCGUAAAGCGCACGUAGGCGGCCAACUAAGUCAGACGUGAAAUCCCUCGGCUUAACCGGGGAACUGCGUCUGAUACUGGAUGGCUUGAGUUUGGGAGAGGGAUGCGGAAUUCCUGGUGUAGCGGUGAAAUGCGCAGAUAUCAGGAGGAACACCGAUGGCGAAGGCAGCUCGCUGGGACGGUACUGACGCUGAGGCGCGAAAGCGUGGGGAGCAAACAGG
rnacentral:rRNA from 1 species